rnacentral:rRNA from 1 species
UUUCUCCUACGGGAGGCAGCAGUGGGGAAUAUUGCACAAUGGGGGGAACCCUGAUGCAGCAAUGCCGCGUGAAGGAUGAAGGUUUUCGGAUUGUAAACUUCUUUUGUACGGGACGAAGAAAGUGACGGUACCGUAAGAAUAAGCCACGGCUAACUACGUGCCAGCAGCCGCGGUAAUACGUAGGUGGCAAGCGUUAUCCGGAUUUACUGGGUGUAAAGGGCGAGUAGGCGGGAUUGCAAGUCAAGGGUGAAAUCCCCGCGCUCAACGUGGGAACUGCCUUUGAAACUGGCAAACUGGAGUGUGUG